UUSCCCSCAGAGGAGGCSCCGCUKACUUCSGGCCAGCAGCCRCGGUWAUAGGARGGUGCAASCKAUAAUCGGAWUGCUGGGMGUAAAGCGCASGCWGGCGGUYGUCAAGUYGGAUGUGAAAUCCCCGGGGCUCAACCUGGGAGCWGCAUUCGAAAAUGGCAGGAYUAGAGUGYUUKUAGAGGGGGGGUAGAAUUCCAGGUGUAGCGGUGAAAUGMGUAGAGAUMUGGAGGAAUACCGGUGGCGAAGGCGGSCSCCYUGGACAAAGAYUGACGCUCAGGUGCGAAAGCGUGGGGAGCAAACAGGAUUAGAUACCCURKUAGUCCACGCURUAAACGAUGUCGAUUUGGAGGUUGUGCCCUUGAGGCGUGGMUUCCGGAGCUAAACGCGUUAAAUCGACCRCCUGGGGAGUACGGCCGCAAGGUUAAAACUCAAAUGAAUUGACGGGGGCCCGCACAAGCGGUGGAGCAUGUGGUUUAAUUCGAUGCAACGCGAAGAACCUUACCUGGUCUUGACAUCCACAGAACUUUCCAGAGAUGGAUUGGUGCCUUCGGGAACUGUGAGACAGGUGMUGCAUGGCUGUCGUCAGCUCGUGUUGUGAAAUGUUGGGUUAAGUCCCGCAACGAGCGCAACCCUUAUCCUUURUUGCCAGCGGUYCGGCCGGGAAMUCAAAGGAGACUGCCAGUGAUAAACUGGAGGAAGGUGGGGAWGACGUCAAGUCAUCAUGGCCCUUACGACCAGGGCUACACACGUGCUACAAUGGCAUAUACAAAGAGAAGCGACCUCGCGAGAGCAAGCGGACCUCAUAAAGUAUGUCGUAGUCCGGAUUGGAGUMUGCAACUCGACUCCAUGAAGUCGGAAUCGCUAGUAAUCGUAGAUCAGAAUGCUACGGWGAAUACGUUCCCGGGCCUUGUACACACCGCCCGUCACACCAUGGGAGUGGGUUGCAAAAAGAAGUAGGUAGCRUAACAUUCGGGAAGGGCCG
rnacentral:rRNA from 1 species